ACUCCUACGGGAGGCAGCAGUGGGGAAUAUUGCACAAUGGGCGAAAGCCUGAUGCAGCGACGCCGCGUGAGGGAUGACGGCCUUCGGGUUGUAAACCUCUUUCAGCAGGGAAGAAGCGAAAGUGACGGUACCUGCAGAAGAAGCACCGGCUAACUACGUGCCAGCAGCCGCGGUAAA
rnacentral:rRNA from 1 species